UUGUGGAGGUCUGCGGAGUUUCUUCAGACCCCAGUAAAAACUUGUUUAAUCUUAAAUGGGUCCUGUUAAGAAUUCCUUCGUUAUCUUGUCAUACUUCAAGGCCCAGGAAAGGCCUGGGCAAAACUCUUGGUGGGCUUUUGUUACAUUCCAGCCUUUGCAUAAGGGGACUGGCUCUCUAGGCUUUUAAUAUUUAACUUAACCACUUAGUCAGUGCUGAAACAGUUGUUACAGAGGCCUGCCUGUUCAGCCGUUAGUGAGACGUGGCCUGCCACACACAGACACACACACAGACAUACACACAGACACACACACACACAUAUAUACACGCAUACACAAACCACAUACAUACACACUGUAUUAGGGUUCUCUAGAGGGAUAGAACUAAUAGGCUAGAUGUGUAUCUAAAGGAGAGUUUAUUAAGGAGAAUUGACGCACACGAUCACAAGGUGAGGUCCCACAAUAGGCCAUCUGCAAGUUGAGGAGCAAGGAAGCCAGUUUGAGUCCCAAAACCUCAGAAGUAGGGGAGCCGACUGCAGACUUAAGUCUGUGGCCAAAGGUCCAAGGGUCCCAAAGCUGAAGAACUUUGGGUCCGAUGUUUGAAGGCAGGAAACAUCCAGCACAGGAGAAAAAUGUAGGCCAGGAGGCUAAGUCAGUCUAGUCUUUCCAUGUUCUUCUGCCUGCUUUUAUUCUGGUCUCGCUGGCAGCUGAUUAGAUGGUGCCCACCCAGAUUAAGGGUGGGUCUGCCUUUCCCAGUCCACCCACUGAAAUGUUAAUCUCCUUUGGCAACACCCUCACAGACACACCCAAGAACAGUACUUUGCAUCCUUCAAUCCAAUCAAGUUGACACUCAAUAUUAACCAUCACACACACAUAGACAUACACAUACAGACAUACACACAAAUACAUACACACACACAUAUGCACACAUACACUCAUACACUCAUCUACACACAGACAUACAAACACACACAUAUAUAGACACAUUCACACACACGUAUGUAUACACAUGCACACACACAUACACAUACAUACACACGUGCACACACAUACACACACAGACCCACAGAUACAGACACAUACAUAUACACACACUCAUACACACACAGGCAUACACACAUACAGACGUACACACACAUAUGCACAUAUACACAUAAACACACACACACAGACACACACACAGACAUACUCAUACACACACAGAGAUAUACAUACCCUCAUAAAAGUCCAGCUGGGCUGGGCCUUCUCAGUGUGGGCUGUGCCCCCAGCUGGGGGAGAGGCCACUUUUACAUGACCUUUUCCACUUGGCCUGCCCUCCUCCAUUCUCUGGCCUCUGGCUUCCUGCCUGUCCUUAUGUAAACGUCUGAAUCUUAGGCUUGGGCAAAGCAAGUCCUCAGAGGAGCUUGGAUUGUGGGAAUGAAGAAACUGAACAAAAUAAGGGCUUAGGAAAACUAUGGAAGCUUUGAGAUUUGUCUCCAUUGCGAGCUGGAUGGAAAGAGGCUUCACAGGGCCUCUGGAAUUCAGGACUUCUUAGAAUUGGCUGCCCUGAGACCUGAUAUGAACCCAGAACUUGAUCAUUCCACGUGAUCAAAUUCGACUCCAGCUGUGGCUCAGCCUCAUGGCAUUGGAACCGUGGGAAGCGAGUCUCCUGCCCAUCUCUGUUCAUCCCAGACAAUUGCAAUUGUGGAAGGACCCUCCAAUGACAUUGGACACUGGAGGCCCAGAGAAGGAAGUCCUCUGAAGAGAAUAAAAUAGUCCACUUAAAGCAACACCAGAAGUCUCUUGGGAUAUGUGAGGACAAUAGCUCCCUGUGUGUGCUGGAGACCUUGGACAAAGUCCCCAAGUCAUAUCCAUACCUACAAGGUGUCAGAAGAAAAGAUUACAACACAUCCCAUUUAAAGACAAGGAAACUGCAACAAAAGGUGUCAGACCCCACACUGUGAUCUCAUCACUGCUGAGCUCUGCCUGGAAUCUUGGAACUCUCCAGCGAUCUCCUCUCCUUAAGAGUGGACGUGGGAUGCCUCCACACAUUCAGUCAAAAUAAGGUUAUGGUGUGCCUGUUGUGUGCUAGGAAUUAUCUUCUCAUCAGAAAAAGAAUCUCUCUAUGUUUUGGGAAUAUGUGAAGAACAAAAUGAUGAUGUGUAAGAGGUUCUUGCUAAAUUGCUCGGCACAGAGAAGCCCUGGAGAAAGGGUGACAGUGUUGCUGGUGGGGGCUCUGCUGGCUGGUUUCCAGGACUCUUCUUCUGGGACAGCUUGUGCUUCCUGCCACUCUCCCCAGCGUCAUUUCUUAUCCUUCCCCAGUUGCAUUUUGAUAUUUCCUUUUAAGAUUUUACUGUUUUUCAAAAGAUCCAAAAGUGAUUAAAACUCUAGCCAUUGAAA